rnacentral:rRNA from 1 species
GGAACAUGAGCUGGGUUUAGACCGUCGUGAGACAGGUCGGACUCUGCCUGAUGGAAGCGUGGAUACUUGAGGGGAAGUUGCUCCGAGUACGAGAGGAACAGAGCAGCGUGGCCUCUGGUUUAACGGUUGUCUGAUAAGGCAAGCCGUGCAGCUAAGCCAUUUAGGCUAACUCCUGAAAGCAUCUAAGGAGGAAACCUAUCCCGAGAAAAGGUAUCCGGUCGUAAGACGAAGGGUGGCAGCAGAAGACUGCUUUGAUAGAACAGCAGUGUAUGCCCCAAGGUUCGCCGAGGGGCGAGCUGGCUGUUACUAACAACCCAAUACAUCAGUCAG